CAAGACGCCUGGUAUAGAACUCACUUUUCUUAAGCUCUCUUCUGCUACAGUAUCUGCCUCACAUUUUGAAGAGUAUAGUUCUAACAAGGUUUUUGAGACAGGGGCGCGGAACAGGGGGGCUAGGGGGCUAAAGCCACCCAGAAGUAAAGUGGGGGGGGGGGCUUAGCCCCCCCAGAAAAUUUAGUUUUUUUCUGGAAAACUUUGAUAAUUAAGGGAAAAU